UUUUUUUUUUUUUUUUUUUUUGAGACGGAGUCUCACUCUUGUUCCCCAGGCUGGAGUGCUGUGUGGCGCAAUCUCGGCUCACUGCAACCUCCGCCUCCCAGGUUCAAGCGAUUCUCCUGCCUCAGCCUCCCGAAGUGCUGGGAUUACAGGCGUGGGCCAUUGCGCCCAACCCUCUUGGCUCUUUUGUACCUUGUUCCCUAGUGGUUUGCUUACACGAAAUCCUACCUGAUGGUAAUAUAGAUUUCCUUCUAACAUUUUAUAGGAAAAUUUCAAUAUACCAAAAAAUUGAAUUGUACAGUGAACACCUGUCUAUCCACCACUUAUCUUCUGGAUUAACAGUUUUCUAUAUGUGCUUUAUCACAUACCUGUGAUGGUAUACUCAUUUUUAAUUAAUCCAUAUUUGUGUAUUUAAUGGGAAUUGGUAGCAGCCGAAGCAAACUCUCUUGGAGUGACAAAAUCUGUGCAGAGGAGAAAUAACCUGUUUAUUUUACUUAUGAUUUGUAAGAAAGGGCAGAACUAUUUU
rnacentral:lncRNA from 10 species